rnacentral:piRNA from 1 species
UGCUAUUGAUGGUGUUUGGGUGUUAGCCUAA